UUCUAUCUCUUCAGUAAAUGUUAUUACUAAAUGUGAAACAUUCUAUAUUGCCAUGACAUUUCAACACACUGAACCCCCCACAACUUUUUUUCACGGCUUCUGUAUUUCUCUACCGGGACAUUGGCAAAGCAUAAUUCCAAAACUCUCUCUGAAGUGGACAUCCUGAACAAGAAGAGUUGUUAUGAGGAUGAGAGAAAAGACAUUCAAGCAAAGGCUAGAAACAAGAACAUUCAGCCGAACUGCCUAGAGACUUGCAGACCACGGAGGAUUCUUUCCUGCAAAGUCAGUGUGCUUUCUCAGUCUGUUGCUUGAUGGAUACCUAGCUACUUUUAGAAACUGCUCUGAAAACACUAGGAAGAGAAGUGCAACGGUUCAGACAAUCCAGAAACCAACCCUGAAAUAUUAUAGAAUCCUUCCUCACACUCAAAAUAAUACUCACCAAAUACUUUAAAGAAGAGGAGGAAGAGAACAUGCUGCUGCUGUUGCUGCUACUGCUGAUAAUGUGGAUGACAACUAUGAUGAUGACUUUCCAGUAGACGGGUAAUCCUGGCUGUGCCAGUUAUCCAGAAACAGUUCUGAAACAACAUGCCUUAUUUUUCUUGUUGUUGCUAUCAUCUCACCAUGUUUUGUUACUACUAAGUCCUCUAGAUCCUUUUCACAUUUAUUGCUUUCCAGCCAUGUUUCACUUAUCCUAUAUUUGUGUAUUUCAUUUAUCCUCUUGAAUUUUGGUACCCUGCAUUUAUUUCUGUUGAUAUUCAUUUUAUUAGUUUUGGCCCAACUCUCUACUCUGUCAAAGUCUUUUUGAAAUCUGGAGUAUGCACUAACCUCACCUAUCCCAAUUAGUAAGUGUGCCUUCUCUUCUAUAAUUUAAGACAUUUAUAAAGAUGGUAAAUGACACCAGGUUCAUUACAGAACUCCCAAUGCACCCCUCUAGCCACUUCUCUCCAGGAUGAAAAGGAACCACUGGGGACACUUCCAGGCAGCUGAGAAAUACAUGACAAAGCAGGUUUUCAGGGGCUUUGUGAAUCACAAGGAGAGGCAGGUAAGAAAUAAAAUUAUUAUUAUUAUUAUUAUUAUUAUUAUUAUUAUUAUUAUUAUUAUUAUUAUUAUUAUGCUGGAUUUCAUAUCACAAAAUCACAAGUCGAACACUUCCCAAGCGUUUAGGACUUUGUGAUGUAUUUUCGGAUGAUGCACGCAGAUCCCAGCAGGGUGGCCUUUUGCAGUUGGCAGAUCGUAAUUUUGUCAAUGUCUAUUGUUUCCAAAUGCCGGCUGAGAUCUUUUGGCACGGCACUCAAUGUGCCCAUCACCACCGGGACCACCUGCACUGGUUUCUGCCAGAGUCUUUGAAGUUCAAUCUUGAGGUCCUGAUAGCGGCUGAGUUUUUCCUGUUGUUUUUCGUCAAUGCAACUGUCACCUGGGAUGGCGACAUCAAUGAUCCAAACCUUUUUCUUUUCCACAACUGUGAUGUCUGGUGUGUUGUGUUCCAGAACUUUGUCAGUCUGGAUUCAGAAGUCCCACAGUAUCUUUGCGUGCUCAUUCUCCAAUACUUUUGCAGGUUUGUGAUCCCACCAGUUCUUUGCUGCUGGAAGGUGGUACUUGAGGCAUAAGUUCCAAUGAAUCAUUUGGGCCACAUAGUUGUGCCUCUGUUUGUAGUCUGUCUGUGUGAUUUUCUUACAGCAGCUGAGGAUAUGAUCAAUGGUUCCGUCGGUUUCCUUGCACAGUCUGCAUUUUGGGUCAUCAGCUGAUUUUUCGAUCUUGGCCUUAAUUGCAUUUGUUCCAAUGGCUUGCUCCUGGGCUGCAAGGAUCAGGCCUUCUGUCUCCUUCUUCAGUGUCCCAUUUGUGAGCCAGAGCCAGGUCUUCUUAUCAGCUUUUCCUUCAAUUUUGUCAAGGAACUUUCCAUGCAAUGUUUUGUUGUGCCAGCUGUCAGCUCUAGUUUGUAGUGCGGUUUUCUUGUACUGAUUCUUUGUCUUCUGUGCUUUGAGGAGUUUCUGAUUUUUGACUUCAAUCAAAGCAGGUUCUUCACUUUGCUUUACAUAUUCUGCCAGGGCAUGUUCUUCUUCUUUGACUGCUUGUUUUACUUGUAAGAGUCCUCUGCCACCUGAUCUUCUAGGCAGAUAUAGCCGGUCAACAUCACUGCGAGGGUGCAGUGAAUGAUGAAUGGCCAUGAGUUUUCUUGUUUUUCUGUCCAAAUUGUCCAGUUCUGUGUCCAAUUUAUAAUGCCAGCAGUAUAUCUUAUGACAGGUAUGGCCCAGGUGUUUAUGGCCUUGAUGGUGUUGCCUCCAUUGAGCUUAUUAUUAUUAUUAUUAUUAUUAUUAUUAUUAUUAUUAUUAUUACCUAUCAGCAAAACUGUUUAGCCACAGUUCGCCUGCUAAAAAUAUCAUGGAGGAUAUUGCCAAAAAUUUUAGUAAAAUUAAGAUAUACUGUAUUCAUUGCACUCCCCUGAUCUACCAAGUUUGCAAUUCUACCAAAAAAAGAAGAUGAAAGGGAAAGAUUAGUCUGGGAUGACUUGAUUUUGAGAAACCUAUGCUGGAUCAUAAUAGUCAAGGAAGUUUCUACACACUAACAGUGUGCAGAGAAUGACUAUUCUAGAAUCUUUCUUAAUAUCGACAUCAAGCUAACUGGUUGAUAAUCCUGUAUUUUGCCCUUUUUGAAAACAUGGGCAAUAUUUCCCUUCUCCAAUUUGCCAGUACCUCUGCUGUUCUCCAAGUAUCCUCAAAAAUUAUCGGUGGAAGCUCAAAGAUUACAAGUGCCUUUAGUACUCUUAGAUGCAGUUUAUGUGGCCCUGGAGACUUGGGUUAAUCUAAAGUAGCUAGAUACUCCUUUUCUACACUUUUACCUAUUCCAGACGACAGGGUCUUUAUUGCAUCAUUUGUUCUAUUUUCACCAAUUAAAGUUAUUUUUCCUUUUGAGAGAAAAGAAAAGCAAAUAAGGUAUUGGGCAGUUUGGUCUUCUCUCUGUCCACCACUAGCAUUUCACCGUAUCUCAUAGGAUUAUGUGUUCCAACAUAUAUCUGAGGGAAGGGGUAAUGGUCAAAGGGUUUGAUGAAUAUUGUCAGCCUCUCUAUUACACCAUGGAUCUUCACCCCUAGGAGAAAGCUUCCCUACACAUUACUGCUUCUGUUCCUCUCAACAGGGAAUCACUUACUACAAAUCAUGUCUCUUCUUUCUCUGGGAACUGAUAUUAGGCCUUCUUUUUUGGAAAUCCCCAAGCCUUUAGAGAAGUGAGGCUAUUAUCCCUGUUCUUGCACCUCAUAACAUCUCAGCAAGAGGAAAGCUUGAUAUUUAUUGUGUCAAUCGAAACUUGUAACAAGGUCUUUCAUAGCUUUGCUUCUGUAUGCAGUUUUUUUCCAAGCAGUUUUCUUCUGUGUUUGGGAAUUACUACCCUUUGUAGAUUCAUUUCCUCUGUCUUACCCUUCAAGAGGGUAGGGAGUCUGCUCCAUCCUUUUUUUAAACCUCCCCCCACCACAAAACCUUUAUUUUUCAUCAAAAAUUGAGGUGUAGACACACAGGCUUUUGUACCUUCUCUUUCAGCAGGGCAACCAGCUUGCUCUUCCUGCAGUUAUAGCCCCAUAGAAAUCUGGCAAGAAAAUAAAUAUGGCACCAUCGCUGUAACAAUUGUCACUGUUUGGCAUCCUGUAUAUGCAAUGGAACAAGCCCCCUAUAAAAUUCCCUGCUAAAUGCCCGCAAAAAUAUGUUUGCUGCUUCCUAUUUUCCAAGCUCCUGAGGCUGAGGCUCCAUCAGCAAGACCAUAUAAUGCAGUUUCAAGUAGCAUUAUAUGGCAGUGUAGACUUAUAUAAUGCAGUUCAAUGAAGUUAAGCUGAACUAUAUGAGUCUACAAUGACCACAUAAUGCAGUUUCAAACAGCAGAUGGGGCCUGAGGCAGCAGCUUAUAGAGCUAUCAUCUGCUAAAUCUUUUCCUCAAAAGAUCUGUGAUGCAGGAGAUGUCUUAUCCCUUAGAUCAAGCUGACGGGACAAAACUACAGAGACACACUGUAAAGAAGUGUGUUUUUAUUUUGAUUUAUAGAUGUCAUGUUUAAUUUCGUUUUAAAAGUCAGGUUUAACUAUGUUUAAAAGGGUAAGUAUUAGUCACCAGUGCGUGGGGGAUGGUAACCAGCUCAGCAUUCUGAGGCAGGUUGCCAUAGUAAUGAGGGUGGAGUCAACUGCCGUUUGAAGAAAAAGGAGGGAAUGUUUUAAAAAACAGUUGAGUCUGUGGUCAGUAAACCACAGGGAAGGUUAGUUUUAGAGUUGGUUUUAGUUUAACUUGUGGCCUGCAACAUGUUGGAUUGCAAUUCCCAUCAUUCAUCAUCAUUGCCGAUGUUGGAUAGAAUUCAUGGGAGCUUCAAUCAGCCAUAUUUUGCCCACUCCAGAUCUAAACAAAAGUUUGAAUGAGCUUAUGAGAUGUAAUAUAUUAUCAUUGUAUGAUUUAUUUUGAAAAGCAUCUGUAUGUUUUAAUACCAUAUUGCUAAUAAAUAGUUUGAAUUCAAAGUUCUAUAGUCACAUAAUUCCCUGAUUUACUUAUCCUACAAGAAAGUUUCAGAAUCUCACAAUGGCUUUAUGAAUAUCAAGUAUUUAUAGCUUCCCAUCACUGCUCUUAAACUAUGUACUUAGAGGAUUAGAUGAAAAGGAUUAAAGACAAAAAGAAACAAAUAGUUGUAGAUCUGUACUCGUCUUGUUUUAAUUUUUUCUCUAAUCCAGAAAUGCUAAAGGAUUUUGAAUUUAAAACAGAAAAUCUUUGGACAGUAUGUGCUUUAUUUUCAUAUCUCUCUGUUUCUCUAUUUUAUUUUAACUUUUUGCAGGAAAUGACAGCGACUUUGAAGGAAUAAAAGAGGGUAAAUUAAAAGGAAACAGAUUUUAACAUGCACAUGCUAAUUACAUUUAGGGCAUUGGUAGACAAUUCCAUGAACUCAAGGACUUGGACCUUUUAAUCCAUAAACAUCAUUAAAUGUGCCACUGAAAUGGCAUCAAAAGAUAUGGAGUGGAGUUUUAGUAAUUUUCCUUGUUUUGAAGGCAGGGGUGGGGUCUGAAGAAUGGAGAGAAAGAAUACUACUUGAGAUAUUUUUGUUCACUUAUUGUUGUUUGUAGCAAUGUAGCAGAAUAUGCAGUAGAGGUGAAGAAUAUAUUUAAGGGAUGAGAUUUAAUAAAUAGAGUCCCAGAAGAACUAUGGACAGAGGUUUGCACCAUUGCUUAGACAACAAAGUAUGUCCCAAAGGGGGAAAAAAACCCAAGAAGGCAAGAUGGUUGUCUCCUGAGACACUGGAAGUAGCCCAAGAAAGAAGGAAAGCAAAAGGAACCAUGAUAGGGGAAGAUAUGUCCAAUUAAAUGUACAAUUCCAGAGGUUAGCCAGAAGAAAUAAGGAAUUAUUUUAAAGAAGCAAUGCAUGGAAGUGGAAGAAGACAAUAGAAGAGAAAGGACAAGAAACCUCUUCCAAAAUUUUAGAAACAUCUGAGGUAAAUUUCAGGCAAAAAUGGGUAUGAUCAAAAACAAAGAUGGCAAGGACUUAACAGAAGCAGAGGGGACAAGAGAAGGUGGUGAGAAUAUACAGGAUAGGAAGGAUAAUAAUAUUGAGGAUAGUUGUGACAGUGUGGUGUGUGAAUUAGAACCACAUAUCUUGAGGAGUGAGGUUGAAUGGGCCUUAAGAAGCAUUGCUAAUAACAAGGCAGCAAGAGGCGACAGGAUUCCAGCUGAACUGUUUAAAAUCUUGAAAGAUGAUACUGUCAAGGUGAUGCAAGCCAUAUGCCAGCAAAUAUUGAAAACACAAGAAUGGCCAUCAGAUUGGAAAAAAUAAACUUAUAUCCCCAUACCAAAAAAGGGAAACGCUAAAGAAUGCUCAAACUUUUGUACAGUGGCACUUAUUUCACAUGCUGGUAAAGUAAUGCUAAAGGUCCUGCAAGGUAAACUCCAGCAAAGAAUGGAGCGAGAGUUGCCAGAUAUACAGGCUGAGUUUAGAAAAGGCAGAAGAAUGAGAGACCAAAUUGUCAAUAUCUGCUGGAUAAUGGAGGAAGCUAGGAAGUUUCAGAAAAACAUCUAUUUCUGUUUUAUUGACUAUUCUAAAGCCUAUGACUGCGUGGAUCAUCAUAAAUUGUGGCAAGUUCUUGGUGGUACGAGGAUACCAAGUCACCUUGUCUGAAAGACAACCCAGAUAGAGGAUACAGAAGGAAGCCAGUAAAGUGUAACCAUUAAAGAAGAAAUUAGUUAAGUUUCAAGCUUCAAUCUGUCCAGCAAAACAAGUCUUCAUUAGUCACACCCUGGGAGGAGUUAGAGUACUGAUCUUUCAUAAAAUUAAAAUUUUUAAUUGUUAUAAUUAAACACAUGAUAUAUUAUUAUAUAUGGGCUCACUGAUUUCAGAACACACUACAAUGUGUCCACCACAUCUUCAAGAAAUAAUAACUUUCCAAGGAAACCAAAAAUAGUAGCACCACUGCUAGAGAGGAGAGUCCAGAGAGAGACUUUCUACUAUCUGGUUUACGUUCAAGUGUGCAAAAGGAAUAUCAGACUGGAUACAAAGUUUUGCUCCUACAAGAAAGCUCAAACAAUCCAUAUGAAGUUCAAAAACACAACGCUGCAUCCAAAAAUACUUUACUUCUAGCCAUCUCACCAUCUGUACUCCCUGACCAUUCCUAUACAAACUCCAAAACACGAUAUCCCCCUCAGCUCCUACUAAACAUUUCAACAGGCUCUCCUUUGCAGAAUACAUGGGAAAAUGUGGAACUGUAUCUUCUGCAUUUACCUCUAUGAUUUCCAUAUGUGCAGCUAUACACAUUCAAGAAUCCCAAAUGGAAAGUGGUUGCUGGUUGAACUGAAGGCCCUACAUGCAAAGAGAUCCUUUUUGUAAGGUCCACCAAAUGCAUGAAGCAGGGAAGGAUGCCCUAUUCUCCCUCUCGGCAUUUUCACAUGGGGAUGGGAAGGACCAGAGACAUGAACUUGUCAAAGUUCAGCUUCAUUUUUGCUCCAUAUACUUUUCAUUUGGAAGUAUUAAAGGGUAGUAACUAUCUAUUACAGUUUGAGACAAAUGCUAAAGAGCUAAACAAACAGCUGGAAAACAAAAUAACCUUCUGCAGAAGAAGAGAAAGGUAUCAAGAAGAAAGGAAGCACCAAGCAGAAUCCUUUCAUUCUUGUUGGGAGAGAUCCCCUUCCUAGCUUUGCUCCUACUGUAUCAUUCAGUCUCCCAUUCUAUUGUUUUCCUAUUAAUUCUGUACUUGCAUAUUAGCUGUUACAUGGGCUUAGUUUCAUUAUUUACAUUUCAAAAAGAAUAUCACUCUUAAUCUGCUUAAUUGUACUAAUCAGGAGUUCCAAGCGGAGCAUUUGAAGUCUUUUGAAUGUAGCUGUUAUCUUUGCUAUUAAUCUCUUUUUUGUAUGUGUGUGUGUUUUGUAUAUUGAACAAACUGGUUGAUCUUGGAAUGCACAAAGAAGACAAACAUAAGCAUCAAUCUGACCUUGAAAUUUCCCAAUGGACAGACAAAGACAUAGCUGAUGAAAUACACUUGCCCUUUUUGCUCACGUGGCUAGCAAAAUAACUCUAUGUAUGCUUCAGAUGAAUGAACCUAACCCUUGUGUGUGCCCAGAUCAUGUGGAUGCCCUUUUAAAAUGGACUGGCAAUACAAAUAUGAUUUGAGUUUUAUUAUUUCUGUCAGACAGAAUGAUCACUAUGAUUUGUGUUCAUAUAUCAUUUUGAGACAGUUAAUCUCUGAGCUUCUCUUCAGGAUGGGUCAUAAGGUACAUAUGGAGUGAAACUCCCAUCAGCUCUAGAUAGCCUAUUCAAUGGUAAGGAUAGGGUUGUUGGCCCCAAAACAUCUGGAGGACCAUAACUACUUCUUCUAAGGACAUCCACAAUUUUCUUUUAUUUUUCUUCAAGCACAUUUGAUAAUUUAAAUGUACCCUUUGUUAGCAUUGUUGAUUUUUAACUCCAAGCAUUCACAGUGAACCAUACUUUUAUCCUACUUCACUAUGUAUAUUACAUUCUACCUGAAGACAGGACUUAACUUUAAGGGUAAUGACUUACAUACAUGCUACUAUUGAGUUGUAUCAUUUCAUGGCUUCUAUUGAUUCCUACCACCGUAAGAUAAUCUCUAGGUUUCUUAAUGUAAAAACUACCAUGUUUCUUUUCUAUUUCAGCUGCCGCACAGGGGACCCUGUGUUCCACUUAAUGCUAGAGACAGACCCAAAGAAUUGUCAGACAUUAUAUUUUGAAAACAGAACAAAGGAAGAGCUUGUGUGGUUUAUCUCAAAAACCCACAGUGCAAUCUGACGUCUAUCUCAUUCCUAGCAAAGUUAACUUAAGUCUAACAAACACCUUCUACAUUCUGCAUGCCACUUCAAGAUUACUACAAAUAGCAAAUUUUGAAGCUUCAACAUCAAGUCCUGGUUUUGCUUUUCCUUAUCUCAUUCUCUCUCCCCGUCCAGAAUUGCUUAACAUCCUAGCUGAAGGAAAAUGGAAGAGCUAACCCAAGGUUUCUUUCUACUUGCAACAUUUAACUGGUCCAUAUAAAUAUGGCUUUUGCAUUCCCUACUGCUAGACCAUAACUAUCCAAUAUCUUUUGCAUAUAUAGUAGAUGUUUGAUAUUCACUGGAGCUUGGAUAUCAAAAUCUGUGGGAUGCUCUACUUGUAUUGCAUACAAUAAUGUAUUAAAAAGAAGCCUGUUAUAUAAAAUGGCAAAAUCAAUUUUUGAGGGGAAAUAUUUUCAAGCCAUGGAUGGUUCAAUCCAUGGAUACAGAAGGCCAACUGUUCAAUUUGGUUCUCACUAACACACAAUGGUGAACAAACAUCUGGUUUUAGAUGGAAUUAUCUUUGGUGAAAAUGGCUGAAUACAGCAUCAGUAAAUAUUUGGCAUACAUACAUAAUAAUAUUACUUGAUGAAAUACAUGGACUGGCUGUACCUAAAUAAGAGCUGUGUGGCAUGAUUUCUUUAUGAGGGUCCUCCAAGAAGAUCAGAAUGAGACACAGCAUACAUUCAUGAAAUGUCAUAUACUAUGAGACAUCCACUGUUUAUACGAAAUGGUAAUGCAAGAUACUGCAAAAAUUGAAAGAAAAGGCAUACCUAGUGCACAUCCUGAAAGUUUAAGAUCAAAGGAAUACACCGAGUACAAGGAAGAAGGAAGUUAUGAAAAAGUCAUGUAUUUAUCUAGGUUCACCAUUAAAAAACUUACACAUAAGUUUCCAAUGGUGUAUUUAAUGGAAUACUGAUUUGAGUGUUUCUCCUUAUCAUAGAUCCAUACCUGACAUAUGCUUGUAUACUGUCGAUCUUAAUCCAUAAUGAUGUCUGAAGAAAGUUUAUAUAUUUUGGUCAAGCCCCUAAACAUAAUGGCUUGUGUUCAUGUGUAUGGAAUAAACACAUCCAGAAUUGA